AUUUAUAGUGCAUGAAAUGGCUGGCGGUACUAGCUCCUUGGACGGGAAGCUUCUUGUCGCUGCUAUAGACUUCGGGACAGCAUACAGUGGUUAUGCGUUUUCCUUUCGGAAUGAUUACCGACUUGAUCCCUUAAAGAUUGAAGUAAACCACUGGACCGGAACUGGAUCCCAAACGAUGUCACCAAAGGCUCCUUCAUCUGUUCUCUUAAAUCCUGACAAAACCUUCAAAUCGUUUGGAUAUACGGCAGAAGAAGAAUAUUCAAAUCUUGUCGAAACUGGGCAGCACCAAGAUUGGUACUUCUUUACGAAGAUUAAAAUGAGACUGCUCUAUCGUGAGAAAAUUUCUAGAACAGACAUUAUAGAAGAUGAAUGCGGUAAACCGAUGCUAGGGCUAACCAUUAUCAGCAUGAUCAUCCAAUAUCUUAAAGAUGAUUUAUUCAAAAGAUUGGAGCAGAGAGGAAUGCCUUUAAGAGAUCAAGACAUCCUAUGGGUGCUUACAGUUCCCGCCAUUUGGUCAGAUGCCGCUAAACAGUUUACGAAGGAAGCUGCAGAAAAGGCGGGUAUAAAAUCAGAUGACGUCAUGCUUGUAUACGAACCCGAAGCUGCAGCACUGUAUUGCCGAUUUCAAAAUAUGAAAAAUAUUUCUAAUGCGAAAGACGACAGCAAUCUAGCGAAGAAAACGAAGGUGUUGGUGUUUGAUAUGGGAGGUAAACUUAUACAUUGUCUGGUGUUUAAUGUUAUGGUUAAGGCAAUCAUAUCAGGUACAGGAUAUGGAAAAUAUUACAGCACGGUUAAUAUUCAAUAUACAAAUAUACAUGUAUUUCCGAUAGAAAAUAAACCGCAAAAAAAAAAAUGCAAAAAUAAGUAGACUAUUUCAAGUAGAUAUCUCUAAGAAAAAAAGAUAUCUUGUUGUGUUUAUAUAAAAAAAAAAUAUUAAAAAAGAAUAUAUAAAUGUUAGCUUUCUGUGAAAAAAUAUUGCUUGAUAUUCAUAUUUAUUGAUUAUGAUAUAUGAUUUGGGUAAUUCCGUCUCUCUUAUGCCUGUAUGUAUAUCAUUCUGUCGAUGCGUAACACCUCGUUUGUGGAUGAUAUUUUAAGAUGCUAUUGGACACCUUACGAUAUUCAUAUGAAUAAAAGUAUAUUAAAUUCAAAAUACUUUUUAUGACCAUCGUCACGUGUCUCAUACCACCUCAUAACACCCGGAAACGAAAGUAUUACACACAGACAGAAUGAAGGACAGACAGGCAUUUGCUUUUGAAUUGAAAAGAAAAUAAUAAAUUUAAUUCACUUCUUUUAAAAUUUCUAUAAGGGGGCACAACAGAUAUAAGCGUCAUUGCGAUCAAAAGUGAGAAAGAAAUUCACAUCGUAGAAAGAGCUUGUGGAGGCGCAUUUGGCGGAGUCUUCAUCAACGAAAAAUUUAUCCAGUGGCUGGAGGACGUGUUUGGAAAAGAAAUUUUAAAGAAAUUUAAAACAGAACAUCGAUCUGACUAUAUGUUUCUGAUUGAAAAUUUUGAAAACAAAAAACGUUUAAUAGACCCUAGCACUGACAAACAGAUAUGCUUUCAGAUUCCUUCAUCUCUAAAAUCAAUGGCAGAAAACCUUUGGGAAUAUUCUAUCCAAGACCGGUUUAAAAAAAUGGAAAUAAAUGCCGUGCAGGUUAAAGGUCGUGGGAAAUUAUUCUUCCCAUCUUCAUUUUUGUUAGAAAACUUUAUUAUCCCGAUUGCUAAAAAUAUUUUUGAGGAACUGCAACAUAUUCUCUCAAAACAUGGAGAUAUCGACAGUGUGUUGGCUGUAGGAGGUUUAGCUCAGUCUCCUGCUGUUGUCUCUGAGAUCCGGAAAUACGUCAGAGACAUACCUGUGUAUGUUCCGUUCGAUUCUUCGUUAGCAGUAGUCAGUGGUGCAGUGUUGUAUGGACAUGAGAAUAAUAUCAUUAAGGCAAGAGUUUGUCCUUAUUCUUAUGGUAUUCAAACGAUGAGACCGUUUAUUAAUGGAGAUGAUGAAAAUAAAAAAGUUGUUCAAGAAGGAGAAACGUGGUGUAAACAAUGCUUUAGAGCUCUUUACAAAGCUGGAGAUCUCGUGAAACUAGGAGCCGUGUCUUCAUAUGACUUGAAAGAGUCAUUUGAAGAUGAAAACAGAAAGCAUAAGCGAUUCCGUCCAAUACGUUGCGUUAUGUUUAUAUCGAAGAAAAACGAUGUUAGGUAUGUCACCGACAAGGGGUGUAUUGAACAUGGAACAAUCGAAAUUGAAGCCCCAGAAAAUGGAUUUCCGGUUCAUUAUGAAUGUACUGUUGCACUUGAGUUUGCUGGAACAGAAAUUAUCGCUCGUUUAAAAGACAAGAAGGGGACAAAAACUAUUAGACUGGAAUUCAUGAAUUAACGAGGAAGUCAUUCUCCUAAUGCUUUGUUGCAUUUUCAAAUGAGAAUUUUGCGAUGGACUGUUAUGUUAUUUCUAAUAAAAGAAUUAAGAAACACU
rnacentral:misc_RNA from 1 species